rnacentral:rRNA from 1 species
AUUGAACGCUGGCGGCAUGCUUUACACAUGCAAGUCGAACGGCAGCGCGGGCUUCGGCCUGGCGGCGAGUGGCGAACGGGUGAGUAAUGCAUCGGAACGUGCCCAGUAGUGGGGGAUAGCCCGGCGAAAGCCGGAUUAAUACCGCAUACGACCUGAGGGUGAAAGCGGGGGACCGAAAGGCCUCGCGCUAUUGGAGCGGCCGAGGUCGGAUUAGCUAGUUGGUGGGGUAAAGGCUUACCAAGGCGACGAUCCGUAGCUGGUCUGCGGGGACGACCAGCCACACUGGGACUGAGACACGGCCCAGACUCCUACGGGAGGCAGCAGUGGGGAAUUUUGGACAAGGGGGGCAACCCUGAUCCAGCCAUGCCGCGUGCGGGAAGAAGGCCUUCGGGUUGUAAACCGCUUUUGUUCGGGAAGAAAUCCUCUGGGCUAAUACCCCGGGGGGAGGACGGUACCGGAAGAAUAAGCACCGGCUAACUACGU